GCUUUGGGGGGUUGGUGGAAGAAUGGUCUAAACAAUUGGUUUUCAACCACUAUGACCCGGGUUCGAUUUCCGCAUUGGGCA